rnacentral:rRNA from 1 species
UAUGUGAUCGUCUCUCGCAUAUCAAUAAGCGGAGGAAAAGAAACUAACAAGGAUUCCCCUAGUAACGGCGAGUGAAGCGGGAAGAGCUCAAAUUUGAAAUCUUAAAGGGUUUCCCUUUACGAAUUGUAGUUUAAAGAAGUGUUUUCUGUUGAGGUUUUGGUAAAAGUUCUUUGGAAUAGGACAUCAUAGAGGGUGAGAAUCCCGUAUUUGACCUUUACUUUCAACUUUGUGAUACACUUUCAAAGAGUCGGAUUGUUUGGGAAUGCAGUCCAAAAUGGGUGGUAAAUUUCAUCUAAAGCUAAAUAUUGGCGAGAGACCGAUAGCGAACAAGUACCGUGAGGGAAAGAUGAAAAGAACUUUGGAAAGAGAGUUAAACAGUACGUGAAAUUGUCAAAAGGGAAGCGUUUGACACCAGUGUUGUUUUUCUGAAAAUCAAUUAAAGAACUGUUUAUGCUAAGUUGUUUAGACUUUAUCAGCUAACUGUUUAGUUUUGAGCUUUUCUUUAAUGCACUUUUCAGUUAACAAGUCAACAUCAAUUUCUUUUGCUGUAAAAAAGCUUGAGGAAGGUGGCUUGAGAUUCGUCUUAAGUGUUUAUAGCCUCUUGCCUAUGCAGUCGGAGAGAUUGAGGUCUGCAGCGUAGAUCCUUCGGGGCUAAAUGCAUUUGUGCUAAGUUAUAGCAUUUUAUAGACAACUUGUUGACUAUGAUUUGUCUUGUAGCUUACUCGCUUAUGUUAUUUUACCUACGCUUAGGAUGUUGAUCUACAGAGCGAGAGU